AACGCUGGCGGCGCGCCUAACACAUGCAAGUCGAGCGAGAGAGUGGAGCAAUCCAUGAGUAAAGCGGCGUACGGGUGAGUAACACGUGGGUGAUCUACCUCUUAGUGGGGAAUAACCCUGGGAAACCGGGGCUAAUACCGCAUAAGCCUGAGAAGGGAAAGCAGCAAUGCGCUGAGAGAGGAGCCCGCGGCCGAUUAGCUAGUUGGUGAGGUAAGAGCCCACCAAGGCAGAGAUCGGUAGCCGGCCUGAGAGGGCACACGGCCACACUGGCACUGAAACACGGGCCAGACUCCUACGGGAGGCAGCAGUGGGGAAUCUUGCACAAUGGGGGAAACCCUGAUGCAGCGACGCCGCGUGAGCGAUGAAGCCCUUCGGGGUGUAAAGCUCUUUCGUCAGGGAAGAUAGUGACGGUACCUGGAGAA
rnacentral:rRNA from 1 species